rnacentral:rRNA from 1 species
UACGUAGGUGGCAAGCGUUGUCCGGAUUUACUGGGCGUAAAGAGCGCGCAGGCGGUCGUACAAGUCGCGUGUGAAAGCCCCCGGCUCAACUGGGGAGGGUCACGCGAUACUGUUCGACUCGAAGGCAGGAGAGGGAAGUGGAAUUCCCGGUGUAGUGGUGAAAUGCGCAGAUAUCGGGAGGAACACCAGUAGCGAAGGCGGCACUCUGGGCCGGAACUGACGCUGAGGAGCGAAAGCGUGGGUAGCAAACAGG